rnacentral:rRNA from 1 species
GCUUACGGCCACACCUCCCUGAGCACGCCCGAUCUCGUCUGAUCUCGAAGCUAAGGCAGGGUCGGCCCGGUUAGUACUUGGAUGGGAGACCGCCUGGGAAUACCAGUUGCUGUAAGCC